rnacentral:rRNA from 1 species
GACGAACGCUGGCGGCGUGCCUAAUACAUGCAAGUAGGACGCAGUUGCGAACGGGUGAGUAACGCGUCGGUAACUGCCUAUUAGUGGGGGCUAACUAUUGGAACCGAUAGCUAAUCCCGCAUACUAGUAGAUGGACCUGCGUUGUAUUUGCUAGUCGGGAGGGUAAUGGCCUCCCUAGGCGACGAUACAUAGCCGACUAUAGAGGGUGAACGGCCAUACCGGGACUUGGGAACGGCCCAGAAUCCGACGGGAGGGAGCAGGAGGGAAUUUUCGGCAAUGGGGCGAACCCGGACCGAGCAACGCCGCGGGAGGGAAGGAGGGUUUCGGGUUGGAAAGCUCUGUUGUGAAGGAAGCGGUACUUAACCAGAAAGGGACGGCUAACUACGUGCCAGCCGCCGCGGUAAUUC